rnacentral:rRNA from 1 species
CAAUAGCGUAUAUUAAAGUUGUUGCAGUUAAAAAGCUCGUAGUUGGAUUUCUGGUAGGAGUGACCGUUCCGAACUUGAUUGUUCGUGUAUUGUGUUUUCUCCAGCCAUCCUUGUGGAGAACUUUUCUUGCAUUAAUUUGUAGGGAUUGGGACCCGCAUCGUUUACUGUGAAAAAAUUAGAGUGUUUAAAGCAGGCAAUCGCUUGAAUACAUUAGCAUGGAAUAAUAAGAUAGGACUUUGGUACUAUUUUGUUGGUUUGCAUACCAAAUUAAUGAUCAACAGGAACAGUUUGAGGAUAUUCGUAUGAACAUGUCAGAGGUGAAAUUCUUGGAUUUUGACCAGACGAACUACUGCGAAAGCAUUUAGCAAGGAUGUUUUCAUUAA